rnacentral:lncRNA from 1 species
AUGGCAGCCAGUCUGGGAGUACAGGCAUCAAAUGAAACAGAGUUGACGGAGAACUUUGAAAAGGCUAGUGGGUCAAAUAGUCUGAAGACAAACACAAACUGCGAAGUUCAACGCCCUGGCACGAAAUUCAGUGUACUGCUCAUGCCACGCAAGUCACAGGACUUUCUGCAGGGGAGGAAGAAAAGGUUUAUCUGUUUGCCAUGGAAAGAGUCCUGGAUCUGGAGUCAGCAGAUCAAGGCAUGAGCGACU